rnacentral:lncRNA from 10 species
GGUCGCCGCGCCAAGGGCCCGCUGAGCCCCUCCUCCCAUUCGUCCAGCCGCGCGGCCCACAGAAGCGGAACGCGCGUCGAGAGCGCCCUGUCCGCUCGCCCCAGACAGAUGCCCGGUUAUUCAUUACCGCGAGGCCUAGAGGAAAGAGUGGCUGCCGUCUUCCUGCCCACAGCCCGCCGGACCCUCCGUCGCGGCUGCCCGGUCCCCGGAGCCGCAGCCGCCGAGCCCGGCUGUGCGUGUCGUGGCUGCUGGGGAGAAAGAGGCUUCCGGACAUGCUCUGGAGUCAGAAGACAGCGAAAAGAGAAGCAGAAGCCCCGGUGGCAAGAGUCUGAAGCAGGAAGGAUGACUGUAGCCUGUGGAUUGUACUGCAGUAGGAAACUGUCCUAGCAAGGCUCCACUUUGCCCCAGCUUCAAGCUGGAAAGGAGGAGAACAUGAAACAUUGCUUGAAGACAAUGGCCGAGACAGCAGGUCCCACCCUGCACAGCCACCAGCAUCUCUCCCCUCAGCCCUGUCUCCUCUUCUGCAGUUGGGAUCUGCACAUUUAAGCCUGAAAUUGUCCUGUGAAGUGAAGUAUGAUCGGACAGCCUCUUUUCAGCUUUUAUGACAAUGGAGACAGAGGAAUUGUGGCUCUUGCCAAGGUCACAGGAUUGGAAUACAGAGCCAAGCCACCCCAGGACAUGCAAGAGCCUCAGAAGGGAAAAAAGCCCAGCAGGAAGGGAGAACAAGUAGCCUCUGUCCUGAAGUUGUAACAGCCAGGGGCCAGGAUGGAGGAGGAGGACCCCAUAAUCUGCCCAUCUGGGACUUGGCAGGGGACCUGGGAAAAUGUACCCCAACCCAUCCCUUAAGGGCCUUUGUCUUUGGCCCAUUGGCCUAGCAUCUACUUCUUCACCGUGUCUGUUCUUGUCACACCUAGUCAGGUCUGUUUGGGUCUGAGGUGCAUGGAACAUUCUGGGUAGGCCUCCAGCAAACGGAAGCUCUUCACCGUGUUUCCAGCCUGGGACCAAGGGCAGCAUACUGGCAAAGUUGCCAAAGCAAGGGACUCCAGCCUCUUAGGAGUUAAUGACUCCCUCUCCCCAGCUGUCCUCCCCUUGGUGCUCCUCUUCCUCCCUCCUCCUGCUCACAGCAGGCAGGGCCUAGACCCGGGAGCCAUGCUGCUGUGCUGUUGCCAGGGGAGCACGGAGGCAGAUCUGAGCUAUGCAGGGAAAAGGCCCAGCCUGUCAAAGUGUCUGAGAUGAACCGCCGCCGUCCCUGUGCAGCUGGGCUCAGACGUGUCUCAGCUCUUGUUCUGUGCCUGAGAAUGGCGAAACCCAGUGAGGUUCAAGGGCAAACUCGCUAUUCAUUAGUCAGGGGUUCUUGACGUCCCGUCUCUCCCAGGGAUGAGUUCCCCCCUCCUCUUUCUCCCCCUCCUAUGACACAUUCCUGGGUGCCUUUGGUGAGGACUGCACACCCUCCUCCUGCCUAGCCCCCUCUCCAAAGGCCCCUGAAUAAACUCCCCCCAAGGAGACCAGGCAGGGCAGAGACAAUGGCUGCAGGAAAUCAUUCAGGCGGGACAUGCUGGCCUGCCCUCCACCCAGUCCCCCUGUGGGCCCCACUCCCUUCUGAUUCAGGGCACCCUUGGGCCCCCAGCCUAUACAGGCCUGGACAGGAAGAAACCACUGGGAACCACCCUAAGGACAACAUGCUAGUCCAGUGCCAUUCUUCGCUGGCUCUGUGGGUGCCUUUGUGGCCUGUACCGACUGGCUGGCUAAUUUUGUGGUUUCUGUACCAUCACAUGCCUAUUUUAAGACACUCUCCAGCACUGUCGGUUAGGGAGUGUAAAUUUUGCAAUAUUUUCUGAAAUGUGGCAAUAUCAAAAUGUAAAAGGCACACAUACUUGGUCACAAACAAAUGGCACUAUUUACUCUGUGGGCAUAUUUGUAAAAGUUGCCAAAGAAUUAUAUACAAGGAUGUUCAUCAGAGCAUUUCUUUUGAAGAGUAAAGAAAUGGACAUGAACCUGUGGUCCGUUCAUACGGUGGAAUACCUAUGCAGCUGUAAAAAUCAGUGUGGUAGAUCUCCGUAUAUGAGUUGAUGUGGAAGGUUGGCCAGUUCACAUGAUAAGGUGAAUAGAAUAAGUUACAGAACAGGCUGUAGAGUAUGAUCUUAUUUGUAGAUGUUUAAAACUGAGUCAUAAGUAUGCUUAUAUACAGAUCGUUUCUGGAAGUAUGUACUGGAAGUCUACCUCUGGGGAGUGGGGAUGGGGGAGUGCACUCUUCUAUACUGUUAUAUUUUCUUUUCAUGCUCCUAAGGUACUUUUAUUGGAAGAUGUAAAGCGGUUCAAUGUAAUAGGCUUAACUUCUGUCAACUAAGUUGGCGUGGGUGCUUUAAGAGGGUGGUAGUGAUGUUGCUGGAGAAAGUAUCCCACAGUCACUGGUGGCUUCAGCCACGGGCCAUUUUGGGGCCUAAUAAUCACAUAUCAUCAUGGUUGCUAGUGUUAAUCGAAAACCUACUAAGUGCCAGGCUUACUGUCUCUGGGUCUUGCUUACGUGGAUGUCAUUUUUCCAGUUGCACCAAAUCGAAAGAGGUUAAUUGGUUUGUUGGAGUUCCUUUGUAGGUGAAGGGCAGAGCCAGGAGCUUGGCUAGGGACAGGGGAGGUGAGUGGGGGAUGGUGGAUAGGUCUUGGCUCCCAGUUUCCUUCUGGGCAGACAUUGCCCCUCUGCCCUGAGGACCUGCUUGUUUGGGGGAAGAGGCCUUUAGAGGCACCAGGGUCAUGCCAGGUGUUGGACAUGGUGAACUGGGAAGUGCUCCCAUCUGGCCACAGCGCAGAAGUAUCACCGUGCUGGGGGAUGGGGAACAGGGCUGUGAAUGGGCCUAUUUGCAUAAGCAGCAUGUGUCUGGAGAGAAAGACAUCACAGAGCAGAAGAGUGCGGGUGCCCAGGAGUGCACUUGCCACCCCUACUUCAUCCCUGAAAGAGUAAAUGGCCUGGAAGGUGUCUCUGAGAGGUAAUGCCGCACACCACCCUCCCUGGGGGCAGGGUCAGGCUACACCUGCCUUAGGUCGGGGGCUGCAGCAGCCUGAGAGCUCUCAGUAGGGCCUCAGUAGCCUGGGAGGGAGCAGGGGCAGGGGGCAGGGAAAGAGGCGUAAUGGGGCUGUCCAGAGGGGCCUGGGAAACCUGGUCCCUGAGGCCUGGGCACAGCUACAAUCACUUCAAAUUGGCUGUGGGGCCAGUGGACUGGGAAGGAAAAAAGCAAUAAGAGUGACCAAGUGCAGAAGGCUGUCAGGUCCCAGGUCACAUGCCUUAGUGCAGUGACUCCUCAUCAUUUUAUGGGGUGUGGGUGUCGUUGGUACACCCAUUUUACAGAUGAGGACACCGAGGCCCAGAAAAGUUAAGUUACAUGUCCUAAGUCACACAGCUUGUAAGUGCCAGAACUGAGAUCAAAACCAAGUCUCUUUGACUUUAAAGUCUGUACUCUGACCCCAAAGAGAUCCUGUUUGGCCACUUAUAGGAGGUCCCUAAAGCUGCAGACUCCCCUUGCCGGCACCCACAUAUAGAGACAUUAACCCUUCCCCUGCAGGGUCACCUCAAAUAGUCUUUUAGCUGGGCUUCUCCUGCAAUUCCACCUAAUGCCAUCCCCUGGGUUUUGCCCAAACCUGAACUGGGCAGUGGGGUGAGAGGAGGGGUUUACAGGGUUACAGAGCCUCAUACAGAUAGGAGCCCAUGGCUGCUGGUCAUCUGCAUUCCUGCAGGAUUGGCUGUUCCUUGGGGUCCUUGGCAGGAAAAUGAGGAUUGCUCCGAGGCCUGCUCCAGUACUUCCCAGAGGCUGGCCUGGUGUGGGGCUCUGGGAAGGCUGAGGCUGGAGAAGCGUAAGUAGGAGGGCAGAGAUGGCACUCAGGUAGCUUGAAUCACCAGGACCCUUCCAAGCCCCACAGGUUCUGAGGGAGUACUAGGGCCAGCUCUGGGAGAGGUCUCUUCCUAUGCUGUGAACCCCCUGCCUUUCU